rnacentral:rRNA from 1 species
GACAAACGCUGGCGGCAUGCCUAACACAUGCAAGUCGAACGGACAGAGCAGGGAAGCUUUUCGGAGUGGAACCGGACGGUUAGGGGCGGCUGGGUGAGUAACGCGUUGGCGACCUACCUUGUAAAGGGGCGUACCCUCAAGAAAUCUACGCUAAUACCCCAUAAUAACCUUGCUUCCCAUGAAGUAGGGAGGAAAGGAGGCCUUGGCGCUGUCGAUACAUGAUGGGUCCGCGUCGGAUUAGCUAGUUGGUGGGGUAAAGGCCCACCAAGGCGACGAUCGGUAACUGGCCUGAGAGGAUGAUAGGCCACAUUGGAACUGAGACACGGUCCAAACUCCUACGGGAGGCAGCAGGGGGGAAUAUUGGACAAUGGGCGAAAGCCUGAUGCAGCAAUGCGGCGUGGGUGAAGAAGGUCUUCGGAUUGUAAAGCACUUUAAGUUGGGAGGAAGGGGAGUAAGUGAAUACCUUGCUGUUUUGACGUUAGAUACAGAAUAAGCCCCGGCUAACUUCGUG